CUCGUACCCUAAUUUUUUUUUUGUUUGAUUAUUGUUAUUAUGAUCGUGUCUGGUGACUUGCCUGCCUGCCUGUGCUUGGUGACCGGUCAUUCGCCACACACCUCCCCCCCAACACUCUCACGGUCUCGUAUGCAUCGUGUUUUUUUUUUUUUUUUCCUGGAAUUGACUUCAUUUUGGUUUGGUUGUCUGUGCAUUUUGGAUCAACGUCCUCUCACCGUGGAAGUCAUAGCACCAUGCUUGGCGGGAGUGUGUUUUCAUCGUCUUCUACGUCUCUUCAUGGCAUUUUCAUGUGGUGUCUGCCCUCGGCUUCCUGGUGGUGGUGGUGGUGGUGGCGGAUUUGAAACGGUCUUCUCAUGAGCGCAUCUCAGGAACAGAAAGCACACGAAUGUACUUUUCUGUUCAUGAUGUCAUUGGUAACGUCUCGAAUUGUGUCACGACGUCACCUCAGCUUUCUUCCCAGGGUCUUUGGUCGAGAGAAUGCGCUGACAUUUACACACAGACGCUACCCACACAGAGUAGUCAAUCGGCAGCAACACAGCCGCCUCCUUCUUGCCGCAUCGGAGGAAAAGGAGAGGAGGUGGCAGUGCAGCCGCGGUUGCUUAGCAACAGGAGGUAGUCAAUUUAUCGGUUUGUCCAAAAAAAACAACACAGCGAAGGUGACAGCCUGCGCUCUUAUAUAAACAUGAUACUUUAUGAUCCCAAAAGUCAUUUUACCUUUGCCUCGUGAGCUGCCAAACGUGAUUGCGCUCUCCGAGCACGUACACUACAGCGUAUGGGCUGUGCAUGCAUUUGUCGAUGUCAACUCGGCGUUAAAAAGAGAGAAAUUCAGCCCAAUACUGUAUGCAUGUUUAAUUAUUUACUUGCAUCUG